rnacentral:rRNA from 1 species
CGGAUUAGCUAGUUGGUGGGGUAAAGGCUCACCAAGGCGACGAUCCGUAGCGGGUCUGAGAGGAUGAUCCGCCACACUGGGACUGAGMCACGGCCCAGACUCCUACGGGAGGCAGCAGUGGGGAAUUUUGGACAAUGGGCGCAAGCCUGAUCCAGCCAUGCCGCGUGAGUGAAGAAGGCUUCGGGUUGUAAAGCUCUUUCGGCUGGGAAGAAAUCGCACUCUCUAAUACAGGGUGUGGAUGACGGUACCAGCACAAGAAGCACGGCUACUAC